rnacentral:rRNA from 1 species
UCGGAUUNUAGGCUGCAACCCGCCUACAUGAAGUUGGAAUUGCUAGUAAUCGCAGAUCAGAAUGCUGCGGUGAAUACGUUCCCGGGCCUUGUACACACCGCCCGUCACACCAUGAGAGUUGGGAAUACCCGAAGCCUGUGAGCUAACUUAUAGAGGCAGCAGUCGAAGGUAGAAUCAAUGAUUGGGGUGAAGUCGUAACAAGGUAAC